rnacentral:rRNA from 1 species
CGUGUAGGCGGUUUUUUAAGUCUGAUGUGAAAGCCCCGGGCUCAACCCGGGAAGUGCAUUGGAUACUGGGAGACUUGAAUACGGGAGAGGGUAGUGGAAUUCCUAGUGUAGGAGUGAAAUCCGUAGAUAUUAGGAGGAACACCGGUGGCGAAGGCGGCUACCUGGACCGAUAUUGACGCUGAGACGCGAAAGCGUGGGGAGCAAACAGGAUUAGAUACCCUGGUAGUCCACGCCGUAAACGAUGAGAACUAGGUGUUGCGGGUAUUGACCCCUGCAGUGCCGCAGCUAACGCAUUAAGUUCUCCGCCUGGGAAGUACGGUCGCAAGACUAAA